UACAGAGGGGGCAAGCGUUGUUCGGAAUUACUGGGCGUAAAGGGCGCGUAGGCGGCCUUCUAAGUCGAACGUGAAAUCCCCGGGCUCCAACCCGGGAACUGCGUCCGAUACUGGAAGGCUUGAAUCCGGGAGAGGGAUGCCGGAAUUCCAGGUGUAGCGGUGAAAUGCGCCAGAUAUCAGGAGGAACACCGGUGGCGAAGGCGGGUCUCUGGGCCGAGUACUGACGCUGAC
rnacentral:rRNA from 1 species